AUUGAACGCUGGCGGCAGGCCUAACACAUGCAAGUCGAACGAGUGGCGGACGGGUGAGUAACGUCUGGGAAACUGCCCGAUGGAGGGGGAUCACUACUGGGAACGGUAGCUAAUACCGCCUACCAUCGGAUUUGCCCAGCUGGGAUUGGCUAGUGGGGGGGGUAACGGCUCACCUGGGCGACGAUCCCUAGCUGGUGUGAGAGGAUGACCGGCAACACGGGAACUGGGACACGGUCCAAACUCCUACGGGAGGCAGCAGUGGGAAAUAUUGGACAAUGGGCGAAAGCCUGAUGCAGCCAGCCCGCGUGUAUGAAGAAGGCCUUCGGUUUGUAAAGUACUUUCAGCGGGGAGGCGGUACUCGCAGAAGAAGCACCGGCUAACUCCGUGCCAGCCGCCGCGGUAAUUC
rnacentral:rRNA from 1 species